rnacentral:rRNA from 1 species
AAUGAACGUUGGCGGCGUGGAUUAGGCAUGCAAGUCGUACGGGUCGGUGUAGCAAUACAACGGCAAGUGGCGAAAGGGAGAGUAACACGUAGAUACCUACCCUCUGGUCGGGGAUACCGCGGCAUAACCGCAAGUAAUACCCGAUAAAAUCUCCGGAUCAAAGGUGUGAGUCCGCCGGAGGAGGGGUCUGCGUUCUAUCAGCUUGUUGGUGAGGUAAUGGCUCACCAAGGCUAAGACGGAUACGGGGUGUGAGAGCAUGCCCCCGCUCACUGGGACUGAGACACUGCCCAGACACCUACGGGUGGCUGCAGUCGAGAAUCUUCGGCAAUGGGCGCAAGCCUGACCGAGCGACGCCGCGUGCGGGAUGAAGGCCUUCGGGUUGUAAACCGCUGUCGAGGGGAAUGAAGUGCAAGUGAGUUAUCUCAUUUGUUUGACAGAUCCCUGGAGGAAGCAUGGGCUAAGUUCGUGCCAGCCGCCGCCGUAAAAC